rnacentral:rRNA from 1 species
GAUGAACGCUAGCGGCAGGCCUAAUACAUGCAAGUCGAGGGGCAGCAGGAAUAGCAAUAUUCGCUGGCGACCGGCGCACGGGUGCGUAACACGUAUACAAUCUGCCUUUAACAGGGGGAUAGCCCGGAGAAAUCCGGAUUAAUACCCCAUAACAGUGAUCUUGGCAUCAAGGACACUUAAACGCUCCGGCGGUUAAAGAUGAGCAUGCGUCUGAUUAGCUAGUUGGUGAGGUAACGGCUCACCAAGGCGACGAUCAGUAGGGGAUCUGAGAGGAUUAACCCCCACACGGAUACUGAGACACGGAUCCGACUCCUACGGGAGGCAGCAGUAAGGAAUAUUGGACAAUGCCCGCAAGGGUGAUCCAGCCAUGCCGCGUGCAGGAAGACGGCCCUAUGGGUUGUAAACUGCUUUUACACCGGAGAAAACCCCACUACGUGUAGUGGGCUGAUAGUAUGGUGAGAAUAAGCAUCGGCUAACUUCGUGCCAGCCGCCGCAGUAA